UAAUUCUUAGUUUUAUUUUUUUUUAAUUUAAUAUAUCUGGAUAUUUUUCAUAUUUAGCUUGCGUACAACAGUUAUCAACUUUAAGCUUAUACAUUAACUUUAGUUAUAACUUAAUUAUUAAUGAUUUGAUUUAUAGAUUUUUAAAGCAAUACAAGAUUAAAUUUAGCAGAAGUCUAAAUUCUGCUCUGGAAACAAAAAAGAAAGACACCAAAAAUGACCAUUCAAAAUAAUGAUUAAAGAGACAAAAAUUGUGUAUAUCUUAUUAGAUGUUGAAUGAACAAAAUUUAUUAAAGAUAAAGUUGUACCCUUGAAAGAUAUGCUAGUAUUAUUGGCAUAAUGGGCAAGCAUUGAAGUGCAACUUUGUGAACUACAAAACACAUCAAAUUCAGUUAUAAAAAUUUGAGUAACAAAGGUAUGCUAAUUAUUGUAUUACCUGAAAGAGUGUCAUUGCCAUUAAAAGCAGUAAAGAAUUCAAGUACUCUGGAAGAAAAAAGACAAGAAAAUACUUAAGUCAAUUAUUUGGCACAAAUUGGAGUUAAAGACGAAAGAGAUUGUAUAUGUUAUUUACUAAGAAUAGUUUUUUAAAAUGGCCUAACUGUAAAAUUCAACUAUGCAGGGAGAGGACAAAAAAUUGGAAUAGGAAAAAUGUUGAUUGCAUAUGUUGCUAUUGAAACUGUGAAGUCAAAUAAGCAUGGCUUAUGCAGACAUGUGAUAGAGAUAGUGGAAG